rnacentral:rRNA from 1 species
GACAGAGGGUGCAAACGUUGUUCGGAAUUACUGGGCGUAAAGCGCGUGUAGGCUGCUUGGAAAGUCGGAUGUGAAAGCCCUGGGCUCAACCUAGGAAGUGCAUUCGAAACUUCCAGCUGGAGUGCUGGAGAGGAAGGCGGAAUUCUCGGUGUAGAGGUGAAAUUCGUAGAUAUCGAAGUGGAACACCAGGUGGCGAAGGCGG